rnacentral:rRNA from 1 species
GAUGAACGCUAGCGGCAGGCUUAAUACAUGCAAGUCGAGGGGCAGCACGGUUAGCAAUAACUGGUGGCGACCGGCGCACGGGUGCGUAACACGUAUACAAUCUACCUUAAACAGGGGGAUAGCCUUUCGAAAGAGAGAUUAAUACCCCGUAAUAAAUUGAACGGCAUCGUUUGAUUUUGAAAGCUCCGGCGGUUUGAGAUGAGUAUGCGUCUGAUUAGCUAGUUGGUGAGGUUACGGCUCACCAAGGCGACGAUCAGUAGGGGAUCUGAGAGGACUAACCCCCACACUGGUACUGAGACACGGACCAGACUCCUACGGGAGGCAGCAGUAAGGAAUAUUGGUCAAUGGAGGCAACUCUGAACCAGCCAUGCCGCGUGCAGGAUGACGGCCCUAUGGGUUGUAAACUGCUUUUAUACAAGAGAAAACCCUGGUACGUGUACCAGGUUGAUAGUAUUGUAAGAAUAAGCAUCGGCUAACUUCGUGCCAGCAGCCGCGGUAAU